AAUCCAUGAUGAGGGCAAUCACAUUCAUACUCCUUAAAACGUUCACAGGCUUCAUAGAAAAUUUCAGUCGGUCCUUGCUGAAAGCUUGAGAUCUUGGUUCU
rnacentral:snoRNA from 1 species